rnacentral:lncRNA from 1 species
CUGAAACAUAAUUACAGUCAAGGCAAAUGCAUAAUAGAGAAAUUCCGGCUAGAGUUUCUCUGGGCUCCUCCUCCAUCAGUAACUAAUUCUUGCUCUUUUCUCAGCUCUGAGUGGUGAGACAUAGCAGUUCUCCCUGAAGGCAUUUAUAGAAGAUGUAAAGAUUUUUACCCAUUAAGGCAAUACAGCACACAACCACAAGUUGGGAUAUGAGCAAAUGCUGGUUCUGCAACAGCCCGUUCAAGAUAUAAUGGACAUUUACAGUGUUAUGGUGUAGUGGAAAUGCUAAGUUGUGGCUUGAAGCAGUGAUUGAGCACCUGGUGGGAAGGCAGGGCCAACCCAGAGGACCUCAGGUGCAUGCAAUGCAGCUGAGUGACCAGAAGGGCUGGGGAGCCAGGAUCCACUCCUUCCCAGACCUCAUUUAAAGGUUGGCAGUGGAGACAAAGUUAUCUUGCUGGAUGUCCCUAUCUACCCAAGGCCUUCCAAAGGAAGAAAAAAUAUAGUGCAUAUGGCUUCCAAGAGUGACUGAUGUUUUGAUGACGACAUGGAUAACUGCUUUUAUUCUGAAGUGUGGACUUCUGCACAGUUAAAAGGGGGAAGAGAGAAUUCCUGAGUUGCUCCAAAAAUGUAAAGCUGGAUCAGCAGUAAAAGAUGUUGAAGCAGCAGCAUUUCCCUGAGAAGCAGCCAACUUAGAAGUGGAAUAUGGAUUAGUGUCAUCAGGAGCAGCAACAAGAGCUGCAUAGGCAGUCUGAUGGAGCACUUUCCUAGCACAUCAUACUGCAGCUGAACAGCUGAACCACUCAGAAUAUCACAGCUGAAAAAUUUUGUCCAGAAUCAUCAAGCAGAUUUGUACCCUCUACACUCUGAAUUUAUACAGGUUACUGAAUAAAGAUGAAUGAAUAUCUUACAUAGUUGGUAUAAUUUUGAUCUUCAUAAAAUAAAAAUGUAGUUCCACUACUGUAUGCAGCAGUGGCAUGAACUACAGUUUGAUAUUCCAUAGAGUAUCUUUGCAGAAGUCUGUAAUCUCUUGCUGGGAAAGGAAAAUAAAAGCUCCUUUUAAACAAUCCUGUCAGUUUUUCUUCAAAUUAUGCUUUAAUUGGAAAAACUGUAGCUGGAAAGACUCUAACAUAUUCAGAUAGAAAUGGGAAACACUCG